GUACACUCCUGCGGGAGGCAGCAGUGGGGAAUUUUGGACAAUGGGCGAAAGCCUGAUCCAGCAAUGCCGCGUGAGUGAAGAAGGCCUUCGGGUUGUAAAGCUCUUUUGUCAGGGAAGAAACGGUGAAAGCUAAUAUCUUUUGCUAAUGACGGUACCUGAAGAAUAAGCACCGGCUAACUACGUGCCAGCAGCCGCGGUAAUACGUAGGGUGCAAGCGUUAAUCGGAAUUACUGGGCGUAAAGCGUGCGCAGGCGGUUUUGUAAGUCUGAUGUGAAAUCCCCGGGCUCAACCUGGGAAUUGCAUUGGAGACUGCAAGGCUAGAAUCUGGCAGAGGGGGGUAGAAUUCCACGUGUAGCAGUGAAAUGCGUAGAUAUGUGGAGGAACACCGAUGGCGAAGGCAGCCCCCUGGGUCAAGAUUGACGCUCAUGCACGAAAGCGUGGGGAGCAAACAGGAUUAGAUACCCCAGUAGUCCCA
rnacentral:rRNA from 1 species